AAAAUUAACCAGGUGUAGUGGCUGGCAGCUAUAGUCCCAGCUACUUGGGAGGCUGAUGUGGGAGGAUUGCUUUAGUCCAGGAGUUUGAGGUGGCAGUGAGCCAUGAUCACAUCACUCCCCUAUUGCCUGUGCCACAGAGCCCUGUCUCUUCAAAAGAAAGAAAAAGCCCUGCCUGAGGGCAACUUUCUGUUUCUACCUAGAAAUUUCUCUUCUUAAGCAAUUUUGAUACAUCUUACUACUUUCCCACACUUUCAACUUUGUGAGAAAGUAUAUAAUGUAUUUCCUGAGUUUGUAAAGAACUUCAAGAGGUG
rnacentral:lncRNA from 10 species